rnacentral:rRNA from 1 species
CCUACGGGUGGCAGCAGUGGGGAAUAUUGCACAAUGGGGGAAACCCUGAUGCAGCGACGCCGCGUGAGUGAAGAAGUAAUUCGUUAUGUAAAGCUCUAUCAGCAGGGAAGAAAAUGACGGUACCUGAAUAAGAAGCCCCGGCUAACUACGUACCAGCAGCCGCGGUAAUACGUAGGGGGCGAGCGUUAUCCGGAUUUACUGGGUGUAACGGGAGCGUAGACGGCUGUGCAAGUCUGGAGUGAAAGGCGAGGGCUCAACCCCCGGACUGCUCUGGAAACUGUACGGCUAGAGUGCAGGAGAGGUAAGUGGAAUGCCUAGUGUAGCGGUGAAAUGCGUAGAUAUUAGGAGGAACACCAGUGGCGAAGGCGGCUUACUGGACUGUAACUGACGUUGAGGCUCGAAAGCGUGGGGAGCAAACAGGAUUAGAUACCCUAGUAGUC